rnacentral:lncRNA from 1 species
GAGAAGCCUCCCUGACUGGAGACUAGAAAGAGUCUCACAUCUUCUGCUACCACAUGAAUAGACUAAAAAGAAAGAAGAGUCCCAGAUGGGGCCAAGUGGUGACCUGUAGCUAUUUCAGCUCAGAAUGUCAGCCUCUAAAGCAUCAGGUUUGAAUGACUUUGGUGUCAUGGGAUUCUGUCCAUUGUCCGUUUGAGUCUGCUGACAUGCUUCCUCUGGAAAGUGCAGUUUGGCAUGGACGAGUCAGUGGUUUUUUAUUUUGGGGUGUUUUUUAAAAAAUAAAAAUGAAUUACUUUGAGAAUUUUUUAGCAUCUCCUGAUUGUUUCAAAACCAAGGCCGAGAACUGUCGCAGGCAAGAACUUGUGUGCCGAACUCUGAAGGAGCCACCACCCGCAGCACCAGUGGCCACCCACUGUCUCCAUCCAGUGCCUUCU